CUGCGGUGAUGUUUUGAGUAUUUUUCGUCAACCGCAUUUCACUCCCGUGAAUGUUGACAAUUUCCUUCUGAGCGC